rnacentral:rRNA from 1 species
CAGUAGCCGCGGGAAUACGAAGGGUGCAAGCGUUAAUCGGAAUUACUGGGCGUAAAGCGUGCGUAGGCGGUUUGUUAAGUCUGUUGUGAAAUCCCCGGGCUCAACCUGGGAAUGGCAAUGGAUACUGGCAAGCUAGAGUGUGUCAGAGGAUGGUGGAAUUCCCGGUGUAGCGGUGAAAUGCGUAGAGAUCGGGAGGAACAUCAGUGGCGAAGGCGGCCAUCUGGGACAACACUGACGCUGAGGCACGAAAGCGUGGGGGGCAAGCAGGAUUAGAUACCCCCGUAGUCCCUGUCUCUUAUAC